UACGUAGGGUGCGAGCGUUGUCCGGAAUUAUUGGGCGUAAAGAGCUCGUAGGCGGUUUGUCGCGUCGGCCGUGAAAACUUGGGGCUUAACCCCAAGCCUGCGGUCGAUACGGGCAGACUUGAGUUCGGCAGGGGAGACUGGAAUUCCUGGUGUAGCGGUGAAAUGCGCAGAUAUCAGGAGGAACACCGAUAGCGAAGGCAGCUCGCUGGGACGGUACUGACGCUGAGGCGCGAAAGCGUGGGGAGCGAACAGG
rnacentral:rRNA from 1 species